AAUCUAUCAUUAUCCACACACUGUGCAUCACUCUGUUGGCCCGCCUGGAACACCUUGCGUGAUCUGGAUGUGAAACAUAUCGUUUCAGUCGUUGUACAGCCACUCUAACUUGUGUGGCUAUGCAGCGUCGGCCUUACUAACCAACCAACUCCAACCAACUUCUUAACUAACUAGGGUGUGUAGCUUAGAGCUCACACCCACCAACCAAGACAACUCUCAACAACGGAUAUCUUGGCUCUCAGAUCGAUGAAGAACGCAGCGAAAUGCGAUACGUAGUGUGAAUUGCAGAAAUACGUGAAUCAUCGAAUCUUUGAACGCAAAUUGCGCUUGAGGCUUCGGCCAAAAGCAUGUCUGCCUCAGCGUCGGGUUAUUAUCGCUGCCUGUCAUCAUGCGUGACGGAAUGCGGAACUGGCCGUCUCGGCACCGCUGCAAACGUAGCAUGUGCUGUGUCGGUUGAAGUAUGCAGCUGUUUUGGUGCACGUGGACCUGCUUUACGGUAGGCGUGUCUCCACUGGGUAGGCAAAUUCAUUUGCUCAAUGCUUUAGUGGAUGGCUUGAUGCGUGUAUGCGAAACACAAAGCAGGAAACUUACUUCUUAUUUUCGACCUGAGCUCAGGCAAGA
rnacentral:sRNA from 1 species